UACGUAGGUGGCGAGCGUUGUCCGGAUUUACUGGGCGUAAAGGGAGCGUAGGCGGACUUUUAAGUGAGAUGUGAAAUACCCGGGCUCAACUUGGGUGCUGCAUUUCAAACUGGAAGUCUAGAGUGCAGGAGAGGAGAAUGGAAUUCCUAGUGUAGCGGUGCAAUGCGUAGAGAUUAGGAAGAACACCAGUGGCGAAGGCGAUUCUCUGGACUGUAACUGACGCUGAGGCUCGAAAGCGUGGGGAGCAAACAGGAUUAGAUA
rnacentral:rRNA from 1 species